UGGGGAAUAUUGGGCAAUGGGCGCAAGCCUGACCCAGCAACGCCGCGUGAAGGAAGAAGGCUUUCGGGUUGUAAAACUUCUUUUAAGAGGGAAGAGUAGAAGACGGUACCU
rnacentral:rRNA from 1 species